GACGAACGCUGGCGGCGUGCCUAAUACAUGCAAGUCGAACGCUUCUUUCCUCCCGAGUGCUUGCACUCAAUUGGACAGAGGAGUGGCGGACGGGUGAGUAACACGUGGGUAACCUACCCAUCAGAUGGGGAUAACACUUGGAAACAGGUGCUAAUACCGCAUUACAGUUUAUGCCGCAUGGCAUAAGAGUGAAAGGCGCUUUUGGGUGUCGUUGCUGGAUGGACCCGCGGUGCAUUAGCUAGUUGGUGAGGUAACGGCUCACCAAGGCCACGAUGCAUAGCGGACCUGAGGGGGUGAUCGGACACACUGGGACUGAGAAACGGCACAGACUCCUAGAGGAAGAAGCAGUAGGGAAUCUUCGGCAAGGGAGGAAAGGCUGACCGAGCAACGCCGCGUGAAUGAAGAAGGUUUUCGGAUCGGAAAACUCUGUUGUUAGAGAAAAACAAGAACGUUAGUAACUGAACAGCCCCUGACGGUAUCUAAACAGAAAGCCACGGCUAACUACGUG
rnacentral:rRNA from 1 species